CCGAGUUUACAACUCCCAAACCCCUGUGAACAUACCACUUGUUGCCUCGGCGGAUCAGCCCGCUCCCGGUAAAACGGGACGGCCCGCCAGAGGACCCCUAAAACUCUGUUUCUAUAUGUAACUUCUGAGUAAACCAUAAAUAAAUCA
rnacentral:misc_RNA from 1 species